rnacentral:misc_RNA from 1 species
AACGCACGAGACCUGCGGACCUGCGGAAGGAUCAUUACAAGUGACCCCGGUCUAACCACCGGGAUGUUCAUAACCCUUUGUUGUCCGACUCUGUUGCCUCCGGGGCGACCCUGCCUUCGGGCGGGGGCUCCGGGUGGACACUUCAAACUCUUGCGUAACUUUGCAGUCUGAGUAAAUUUAAUUAAUAAAUUAAAACUUUUAACAACGGAUCUCU